rnacentral:rRNA from 1 species
GAGGGAUCAUUACACAAAUAUGAAGGCGGGCUGGAACCUCUCGGGGUUACAGCCUUGCUGAAUUAUUCACCCUUGUCUUUUGCGUACUUCUUGUUUCCUUGGUGGGUUCGCCCACCACUAGGACAAACAUAAACCUUUUGUAAUUGCAAUCAGCGUCAGUAACAAAUUAAUAAUUACAACUUUCAACAACGGAUCUCUUGGUUCUGGCAUCGAUGAAGAACGCAGCGAAAUGCGAUAAGUAGUGUGAAUUGCAGAAUUCAGUGAAUCAUCGAAUCUUUGAACGCACAUUGCGCCCUUUGGUAUUCCAAAGGGCAUGCCUGUUCGAGCGUCAUUUGUACCCUCAAGCUUUGCUUGGUGUUGGGCGUCUUGUCUCUAGCUUUGCUGGAGACUCGCCUUAAAGUAAUUGGCAGCCGGCCUACUGGUUUCGGAGCGCAGCACAAGUCGCACUCUCUAUCAGCAAAGGUCUAGCAUCCAUUAAGCCUUUUUUUCAACUUUUGACCUCGGAUCAGGUAGGGAUACCCGCUGAACUUAAGCAUAUCAAUAAGCGGAGGAAAAGAAACCAACAGGGAUUGCCCUAGUAACGGCGAGUGAAGCGGCAACAGCUCAAAUUUGAAAUCUGGCUCUUUUAGAGUCCGAGUUGUAAUUUGCAGAGGGCGCUUUGGCUUUGGCAGCGGUCCAAGUUCCUUGGAACAGGACGUCAUAGAGGGUGAGAAUCC